rnacentral:rRNA from 1 species
UUAUGGCUCAGGAUGAACGCUAGCGGCAGGCCUAAUACAUGCAAGUCGAACGGUAAGGUCCCUUUCGGGGGAUCGAGAGUGGCGGACGGGUGCGUAACGCGUAUGCAACCAACCCCCCGUCACCGGGAUAGCCGGUGGAAACGCCGGAUAACACCGGAUGCGCCGCUGGGGAGGCAUCUUCCCGGUGGCAAGGCGGAGACGCGGAGGGGGACGGGCAUGCGUCCCAUUUAGAUGGUAGGCGGGGUGAGGGCCCACCUAGUCGACGAUGGGUAGGGGAUCUGAGAGGACGGUCCCCCCACACUGGUACUGAGACACGGACCAGACUCCUGCGGGAGGCAGCAGUAAGGGAUAUUGGUCAAUGGGCGGAAGCCUGAACCAGCCAUGCCGCGUGAGGGAAUGAGGCCCUACGGGUCGUGAACCUCUUUUGACCGGGGACAAGGGCGCGCACGCGAUGCGUGCUUGAGGGUACCGGUAGAAUAAGCGUCGGCUAACUCCGUGCCAGCAGCCGC